GAUGAAGAACGCAGUGAAAUGCGAUAAGUAAUGUGAAUUGCAGAAUUCAGUGAAUCAUUGAAUCAUUGAACGCACCUUGCGCUCCUUGGUAUUCCGAGGAGCAUGCCUGUUUGAGUGUCAUUAAUAUAUCAACCUUCUCUUUUUGAGUUGUUUGGAUGUGGGGGUUUGCUGGCCUCUUAAAUGAUUCAGCUCCCCUGAAAUGCAUUAGCAGAACAACCUGUUCAUUGGCGUGAUAAUUAUCUAUGCUAUUGAAUGUGAGGGCAGUUCAGCUUUCUAACCGUCCUUGGACAAUUCAUCAUUAAUGUGACCUCAAAUCAGGUAGGACUACCCGCUGAACUUAAGCAUAUCAAUAAGCGGAGG
rnacentral:misc_RNA from 1 species